UUGCCCUAGUGGUUAGAGAAUCCGCUUCAGAUGCGGGAGGUCGUUGGUUCGAAUCCCGACCGAG